rnacentral:rRNA from 1 species
AGAGUUUGAUCCUGGCUCAGAUUGAACGCUGGCGGCAUGCCUUACACAUGCAAGUCGAACGGCAGCACGGGAGCAAUCCUGGUGGCGAGUGGCGAACGGGUGAGUAAUAUAUCGGAACGUGCCCAAUCGUGGGGGAUAACGCAGCGAAAGCUGUGCUAAUACCGCAUACGAUCUACGGAUGAAAGCGGGGGACUCAGCAAUGAGCCUCGCGCGAAUGGAGCGGCCGAUAUCAGAUUAGCUAGUUGGUGGGGUAAAGGCUCACCAAGGCGACGAUCUGUAGCUGGUCUGAGAGGACGACCAGCCACACUGGAACUGAG